GGGCGGGCGCGCGCUGAACAACAAAAACACGAUAAGCUAACCAGCUUAAUGCGCGCAAUAAAUGGCGGCCCUGAGGACACGGGCCGUUGCGAAACAGUUAGUCUAACAGUUACGCAUGGGGCCUUACGUCCAACUAACCCAGCUUACUUACGCAAGCUCGCAUUGGUUCGCUUGUAGCCCUCCAUAAGGUCUGACAAGUUCGUGAUCGACUCGCCUCCCAACUUGCAAGUUGUGUAUCAGCCACUCUGUUGUUGGUGUUUCCAAGCAACAUUAACUCGCAGGGGAAUACUUACGUCCAAGAUACAUACAACCCGCUGCUAUGCAUGUGCGCGCAUGCAUGCAUGGCGGUGCACGCGUGUGCGCACGGCGGCAUUCAAGAUCCAACCAAGCAAGCUUGCCCACCGGAGCAUGUUCUUUGUUAGGGAGGUCCUUGGAGUUCGUUGGAGACUUUUCAUGUGCGUGACUUCCAUGUUUCAUUGAGCAAUCUCACCACCUCGCAUGCCCUCUCUUUCCCUGAAGCGGCCAACAGCGGGCACGAGCAUCGUAGACUAACGUUUAGGAAGACAUUCCUUCGUCCUGCCCAUAAUGUAACAAUGGUUUUCAUUAUUAAGCCGGAACUUGACUGGAUAUUCAGUUCUAUUCACGAGCUGUUCCCAUACGAGUCAAACUCACCUGCAAUUCGUGGCGAUCCCGUAAACCGUACACGACUGUACCUUUCUGACUUUCUGUGCUGUUAGCUGGUAGUCUGGUAGCUUUGCUUUUGAAUAAAUAUAAAGGUAAUAUCACAAUGCGGCUUACUGUGGCACUGUCUUGGAGCUCAUUUAGGACGGUGCGAUGAAUCCAGCUCACUUUUGUACGGAAAGGAUUCUCUUCCCCAGUGGUGGCUGGCUAGCGCUUAAUAUGUAUUUGUAAAAGUCACGUAGUGGUGGCUGUUUUGUAACCUGAACCUAAGCAGAGCGUCUGGUGCAAAACAUAGCAGGGUCCUCGUUUCGCAGCAUCGCUUUAUAUGGUCGCUUCCGAAUCCAUGAUAGAAACAGGCUCAAACCAAGUCCUUGAAGCAGGGGCUGAGCUCCAAAGGGGUGCUUUUCCCUUGGGGCUUCCGACUGAUGGUUUGCCACGUUCAGAAGCGUUUUCACAGCUAGUCCACGCUAGAGGAGUAAGAGCUCAACGAGACAUGUAUCCUCGCAACAACUUUAAUGCUGCUCUUGAAGUAGCAGCCUUGACUGGGCUAGAAUGCUACCGGUUCCUGAGGAG
rnacentral:lncRNA from 1 species